GCCCGCAUAGCUCAGUUGGUAGAGCAGGUCCCUCUUAAGGACAAGGUCCAAGGUUCGAGUCCUUGUGCGGGUACCA
rnacentral:tRNA from 1 species